rnacentral:misc_RNA from 1 species
GUGGUUUCCCGCUUUCCAAAUGAAGCAAGCAUCGUUACAAAACCACUGGGCAAAAGUAUACCGCUUAAGAUUCUGAGCAUUGGACGCAAAGCGCAUAUUGACCAUACCUGUGUAGCCACUUGAAAAUCACCCGAGAUGUUCUUGAAAAUAACUAAUAAUAGUUAAUAUACUAAUGUGCAUGUGUUUAUAUAAUUUGCUUAUAAAUUCUUUUAUUUUGAAUGAAAUUAUUAACUCAACU